rnacentral:rRNA from 1 species
UACGUAGGGGGCGAGCGUUGUCCGGAUUUAUUGGGCGUAAAGAGCUCGUAGGCGGUUUGGCAAGUCGGGUGUGAAAACUCCGGGCUCAACUCGGAGACGCCACUCGAUACUGCCAUGACUCGAGUCCGGUAGGGGAGUGCGGAAUUCCUGGUGUAGCGGUGAAAUGCGCAGAUAUCAGGAGGAACACCGGUGGCGAAGGCGGGUCUCUGGGCCGAUACUGACGCUGAGGAGCGAAAGCGUGGGGAGCAAACAGG